rnacentral:misc_RNA from 1 species
GAUGAAGAACGUAGCGAAAUGCGAUAAGUAGUGUGAAUUGCAGAAUUCAGUGAAUCAUCGAGUCUUUGAACGCACAUUGCGCCCCCUGGUAUUCCGGGGGGCAUGCCUGUCCGAGCGUCAUUGCUGCCCUCAAGCACGGCUUGUGUGUUGGGCCCCGCCCCCCGGCUCCCGGGGGGCGGGCCCGAAAGGCAGCGGCGGCACCGCGUCCGGUCCUCGAGCGUAUGGGGCUUCGUCACCCGCUCCGUAGGCCCGGCCGGCGCCCGCCGGCGACCCCCCUCAAUCUUUUCAGGUUGACCUCGGAUCAGGUAGGGAUACCCGCUGAACUUAAGCAUAUCAAUAAGCGGAGGA